rnacentral:tRNA from 1 species
GGGGCGGUAGCUCAGUCGAUGAGAGCCGUGGACUCAUAAUCCAUUGGUCGCGGGUUCGGAGCCCCGCCCGCCCCACCG